UCUGCACACAGUGAGAAAUGCURCGGUGACAAACUGUGCUCCCGUGAAGACCUCCUGUGUCAUCUGCUCCUCCAGGACCACCCUGUGGCAGACUCUGAACACAGUCUUGCUGCUACUGCAAACUACCUUUGAAACAAAAGAUUUUGCAAGAAUGGACACUCUUCUUUUCCCUGUUUUUGUCAGCAAGAUCUUGAAGCUCAUUUGACUACCCUCCUGACUGUGUGUGUUGACCUAAGGCAAGCAGCAGGAAUAUAAAACAGGMUCUGGUGAGGGUGGAGCCCAUCUCAGUAGGGCAGCACAGGCUUGAACGAGAAUAUGCUGGUCAUAAAACUACAUCCUUGUGGGCUCACACACCAAGGCUUAACAGGUGUUUUGCUCUGCCCACAAAAGAAAGGAUAGAUCUGCCUCAUUCAAUUUGGGCAUCAGAAAAGUAGCAGUGCCUACUGUGAMCUCUGCCUGCUUCUCUCUGACAUGAUGGAKGGAGUUUCAGAUGAUCAACCUGCCAGAGAAUGACAGGUGCAGUGGAGAGAAGGCAAAUUUUAUAUUGGGAUGUCACUGCACUGAUUAGUURAUCUCCACUCUAAGAGGAAAGCUAUAGAAAGGAGUUUGGAAGGAGGAGAAAGGGAUUUUGGUUGGCAGCUUCAGACCAGCUAGCUGGUCAAAGCUGGUGAGGAAAGAAGAGCUGGAAGUGUUUGUGGAGGAUUCCCUGUGAAACUCUGCUGAAAUGUUUUUAUGGGAAACCCUCCCUCCUUAUCCUGGGAACUGCUUUAAGUCCCAGCUCUCUCACACUUKGCUCCUGCCUGAGUUGCACUGUGGCCGUGUUCCUGCCCCUCUGGUACCUUGCUGAUGGGAACCCUGACCCUGCCACGGGCUCUCAAUUUGCUGAGGAGUCUGAACCUCCAGCUCCCCUGUUCACUUUGGGCGUUGCUGCUCCCUGCUGUGGUUUCAUUGUGCCUGCCAGGCUGGGCUGGGGCACUSGUCCAGCAAUGGAACUGUGCUGCAGCAGAGAAUGAUGGAUGAUUUCUCCUCUGCUGUGGGAGAAUUGAAUCGGCUGGAAUCAUUGAGGAUGACAUCCCAGGCUCCCUUGGGAUUCAAACACAACCCCUCCCUGCAAGAGAGCAGCCACUGCCUAAAGUUAUGAAUACAUGCUCUGGCAUCCACUGCCARCAAGACUCAGAAAGGGCUGGGGASCAGAGGCUGUGCUGCAGCUAAAGACAAUUGAGCAACUGGAAAAAGCACUGGAAUGAUUUUUCACAAUAAUCACAGGGAAAGAGAGAAAUGUCAUUAUAAUUUGUAGCUGCAAAGCCUAUUGAGACAGAAAGAAAGCA